GGGUGAAUAUAAGUAGUUGGGUUGCAAGAUUGAAUUGGCUAAUCAUUUUGAUGUGUAAAACAACUUACUCACUUAUAUGAGCUCAGAAUAAAAUGAAUUAAUAUAUAAUUUGAUUGGCACUCCCUUCAAAUUUAACAUCCAUCCCAGGCCAAAAACUAAGCUUUUCUUUUACUAAUGGUAUUUGUUUGGUCGUACUUGUAGUUCAUUGCCAAUAGGUAGUUUUAUUUGGUCAACCUUGAACUUUAAACUACAAUCUCUCAAAGAUUUUUCUUGUAAAAUGCGGUAAUACAUUUUCAUGUUAUUUGAUAAUGUGGAAUAACUCAUUGGAUUUAAACAGAAUGAAUCAAAUAGAGGAAUGCGGCGAGUGUGCCGUGCAACUGUAGGAUCCCUGACAAAGUGAAAGGUAA
rnacentral:misc_RNA from 1 species